rnacentral:rRNA from 1 species
UAGGGAAUCUUCCACAAUGGGCGCAAGCCUGAUGGAGCAACACCGCGUGAGUGAAGAAGGGUUUCGGCUCGUAAAGCUCUGUUGUUGGAGAAGAACGUGCGUGAGAGUAACUGUUCACGCAGUGACGGUAUCCAACCAGAAAGUCACGGCUAACACGUGCCAGCAGCCGNGGUAAUC